AACGAACGCUGGCGGCAUGCCUAAUACAUGCAAGUCGAACGAGAUCUUCGGAUCUAGUGGCGCACGGGUGCGUAACGCGUGGGAAUCUGCCCUUGGGUUCGGAAUAACUUCUGGAAACGGAAGCUAAUACCGGAUGAUGACGUAAGUCCAAAUAUUUAUCGCCCAAGGAUGACCCCGCGUAGGAUUAGCUAGUUGGUGAGGUAAAGGCUCACCAAGGCGACGAUCCUUAGCUGGUCUGAGAGGAUGAUCACCCACACUGGGACUGAGACACGGCCCACACUCCUACGGGAGGCAGCAGUAGGGAAUAUUGGACAAUGGGCGAAAGCCUGAUCCAGCAAUGCCGCGUGAGUGAUGAAGGCCUUAGGGUUGUAAAGCUCUUUUACCCGGGAUGAUAAUGACAGUACCGGGAGAAUAAGCUCCGGCUAACUCCGUGCCAGCAGCCGCGGUAAUACGGAGGGAGCUAGCGUUGUUC
rnacentral:rRNA from 1 species